rnacentral:rRNA from 1 species
UGCAAGUCGAGCGCGGGAAGCGAGUGGAUCCCUUCGGGGUGAAGCUCGUGGAACGAGCGGCGGACGGGUGAGUAACACGUGGGCAACCUGCCUGUAAGAUCGGAAUAACCCCGGGAAACCGGGGCUAAUGCCGGGUAAUACUUUUCUUCGCAUGAAGAUAAGUUGAAAGAUGGCUUCUCGCUAUCACUUACAGAUGGGCCCGCGGCGCAUUAGCUAGUUGGUGAGGUAACGGCUCACCAAGGCAACGAUGCGUAGCCGACCUGAGAGGGUGAUCGGCCACACUGGGACUGAGACACGGCCCAGACUCCUACGGGAGGCAGCAGUAGGGAAUCUUCCGCAAUGGACGAAAGUCUGACGGAGCAACGCCGCGUGAACGAUGAAGGUCUUCGGAUCGUAAAGUUCUGUUGUCAGGGAAGAACAAGUACCGUGCGAAUAGAGCGGUACCUUGACGGUACCUGACGAGGAAGCCCCGGCUAACUACGUGCCAGCAGCCGCGGUAAUACGUAGGGGGCAAGCGUUGUCCGGAAUUAUUGGGCGUAAAGCGCGCGCAGGCGGUUCCUUAAGUCUGAUGUGAAAGCCCACGGCUCAACCGUGGAGGGUCAUUGGAAACUGGGGAACUUGAGGACAGAAGAGGAGAGUGGAAUUCCACGUGUAGCGGUGAAAUGCGUAGAUAUGUGGAGGAACACCAGUGGCGAAGGCGACUCUCUGGUCUGUUUCUGACGCUGAGGUGCGAAAGCGUGGGUAGCAAACAGGAUUAGAUACCCUGGUAGUCCACGCCGUAAACGAUGAGUGCUAGGUGUUAGGGGGCUUCCACCCCUUAGUGCUGAAGUUAACGCAUUAAGCACUCCGCCUGGGGAGUACGGCCGCAAGGCUGA